CUGUCAGCUGUGGAGGUGUUCCUCUGUCAGGUAUGGAGGUGUUCCUCUGUCAGCUGUGGAGGUGUUCCUCUAAUGUCAGGUAUGGAGGUGUUCCUCUAAUGUCAGGUAUGGAGGUGUUCCUCUAAUGUCAGGUAUGGAGGUGUUCCUCUGUCAGGUAUGGAGGUGUUCCUCUAAUGUCAGGUAUGGAGGUGUUCCUCUAAUGUCAGGUAUGGAGGUGUUCCUCUAAUGUCAGGUAUGGAGGUGUUCCUCUGUCAGGUAUGGAGGUGUUCCUCUAAUGUCAGGUAUGGAGGUGUUCCUCUAAUGUCAGGUAUGGAGGUGUUCCUCUAAUGUCAG